AAUCGUCAGUUUGUCAACUUUAAGAAGACAUCUCAGAUCAAUGCGUUUGUUCAGGUGUAAAGAGAAGUCUAAGCUGCUGAACGUUGCUGUUUCUCCAAGAUCAACUAAACCAGUACGGUUUCAAGGUCUGAGUUUCCCUCUGUACUGAGAUUAUAACCCUAACCUAAUCCAAUAAACAAAUAAAACAUGUGUCCGUUCACUUUGAAAACAGAAAUAAACAAAAAUUAAUUCAUUUUUUUAGCAAAAAUUUAUUUUUCAGUAGUGCGCUCCAUGGAUACAAAAUGAUGCAUCUGAAAUGCAUUAAUUUCAAGCUGGAUAUGUAAAAUAAGAUUUAUUUCACUUGUGAAAACAGAAACUUUACUCAUAAAAACAGAAACUUUGUUAUUCAAGUGAAUGCAAUAAGCUUCCGUACUGUGCCUUUAGUUUUUAACUAUGACCGUUUUUUAGUCACAGAUUGAGACUGGACACUCAGCACUCCUCCAUGUAAUAACUCCUCUACUUCUUCCCAACCUAAACUCUUAAAUCCCAGGAAUCCUCUCGUGAGGCUCACUCAGCACUAACAGGUCAGCAAACCGGAACACACCUACAUAGCUUCUUCUUCUUCUUCCCCACCCCACACACUCACACACACACACACACACACACACACACACACACACACAGUUCUUUCAUCUUCUCAUAGAGCUCACAGUGUUCACUCGUGUUCCAAUAUAAGCAGUUCUUUAGCAUCUUUUCUCCAUUGAUCACUAUUUCUUUGACUUUUCCUUGACUCAUUUAGUUUUGUUCAUUAUUAUCUGUAUAUUUCUGUCUCUGAGUGUAUUUUUCUGAGCAUCGAUGGAGCUUUUUCAAGAAGGCACCUAUCGUCCCACUGGGGUGCUGUUCGACACUCCUGUUUAUAGACAGAUUUUUCAGAACUGUUGGCAUAUGCCCUCUUACAAAGUUCAUGUAGCUAUGGUGGCUGAGCUCCUGAGGUUACAGAAGGAGAACCAACUUCUGUCUGAGGUGACUCCUGAAGACAUGGCUCGACACCUCCAUGUAAUGAGCAAACGCAGUCUAAGGGUGCAGCUGCUGGACUUUCAGCUGCAGGAGUACGAUGAUGAUGAUGAUGAGGUUAGGAUGCUUCUCAGCAUGGCGAGGGAGGUCAACGACAGCAUGAGGAUGAGGGAUAUUCAGCUGGAUGCUCAAAGGCUGAUCAGCGCUCCAGAGCUCAUGCCUCCAAACUUUAUAUCAGCAAAGAUGAUGAAAGAGGCAAAGGCCAUUGGGGAGGCGCUCACUGAGAGGCAUCAGCA
rnacentral:lncRNA from 1 species